AUGCAAUUGGCCUUCAGGGCUGCAAGUGCACACUGCCAGCUCAUAUCUAAUCUCUCAUCCACCAGUGCCCCCAAGUCCUUCUCCUCGUAUGUGGGCUGCUGGGUGGGAUUAGGCAAGUCCUGUCAUCACGUGCCUCAGCUUCCCCAGUUGUGUGGCUGAAGUUCAACCAUCUGGAUCAGGACAUCAAGACACCUGAAGCAAAAGUGAAGACAGGGAAGGAGAGAAGGAGGAGAAGAAAUGACCACCUAAAAGGCAGAACUUUGCAUGCAUCCAAGUUAAAUAGGAUGCGUCCAAAUAGUUCUUUCAAAUUGCAGUUCCCCCCAAGCACAGGGGCUAAUUUUUUGCUGAAUGGAGACAGUCCCUUUCCAUGGAGGUCAAACAGUCUAUGUGUGACUUUAGCUAGUUGCAAAGAAGGUGACUGACUCCUUUUCCUAAACCAUGAGGUGUGCAGCUUCUCUGGGGGUGACAUGGAGAAAACCGAGACAAGAAGGCAAAGAUCUUUUCCUCCAUCCAUCCAUCCUGGCAGGUUCUUGCUUUCUGGGAAAGCAUCUCAGGUGCAAACUUUUACCAAAAGAAAUGACACCACCCUCUGGGAUUAAACCAAACCAGCUCCUGCUCACUGCUUCCUCCCACAUCAAAGGAUAAAUAUAUGCCACAAAACAUGGAUUUACCCAGGGGUGCAGGAUAUACUCCAUCAUUCAAAGCCUUUCAAUAAAGGGCUUUGUUUCUUUGGAACAAACCUGCUGUCACUGAAAGAUUGGGAUAGGUUUCUCAGAUCUAUGCCAUGCAGAGUAUAGCUUGUAAAUAUGAUCUGUAGUUUCUAAAUCUGAAGUCCUUCAGUCAGAGAAGGUGAAAGAGUUAAAGUUUAUUCUCAUGUCAUCAUUAGUUUCCAGGGUUAUUGCUGCUUAGUGGCAAUGUAGGAGGGGCCUGUGUUCCUGGAUUACCCAUUUCUCACACAUAAGGAUGAUUUGAAGGAUUGGGUUUUUUUAUAUUUGGAGUUGGGUUUCUUAUUUCCUUGGUUUAUGACAAGGAUACUGAAAAUGUCAAAACUGUUUUUUCCACAGAGUUUCUUCUGUUUCAGGGGAAUAGGUAUUGAUGGCUCUUCAACUUGCAUUUGAAUGGGUAGGCUUAUCAGGUUGAACACAAACUUCCUUCCUCUGCAAUGUUAACUUUAAUGUCUAAUUAUCUUUUAAAUAACUGCUUCCCAGAUUACAAGCUUUCCCUUAGCUGCUCCGUAAUGCAGUCCUCAGGUGCUAAAUCCAUAUGUAGACACCUCACUAAGCGGCCUAAUUUUUAGAAGUGCUAAGACCUCUAGCACCUGCCUUGUCUGAAACACAGUGGUUUCCUAAUUUAGAACAGUCGUAAACUGUCCUAAAUUAAAGCAGGAAUUGAAUUAGCCCUGGCUAGUUUGGGGCUUACAGAGGUGGGAGGAAAGUGGUGAGGGAGCAGAAUUGGAGCUACCUUGUACAAAGAAGUGCCCUGGGGCUUGUUUAACACUAGGGGAGAAAAAAAAUAAGACUGCAGGCCUGCAGGAUUACAUUCCCUGUUUAUCCCUGGGGGUAGAGGAAACACAGGGUGCUUCUCUUCCCGCCUGCCCCCAUUGUUAAUGCUGGAAGAAAUGCUGUGAGACAAAGCAGGAUGUUUGAUACAGCCAUGUCCCCUUGGCAUCCCCAGACAAGCCAGUGGCUGUUCUGCCAAAGGGCAGUUGCCUUAAUACUGUACUGGGGAUGGUGGCUCUAGGCUGGCUCUCAUUUAUUUCAAAUUACCCACCAGAACUGACUUCCAGGUGCCACUGGCCUGGCUGAAGCUAGGAGUAGUGUGAAAGCCAAAUCCCCCGUUCUUUAGCCCCACUCCCUCAGCCAUAAGGAAGAGUUUACCAUGGACAUUGACCAGGUGCAGCCUGUGGCUGUGGGGAGGACCUGUUCCCCUCAGGAUGUGCCAGAGCCCCCUGAUCCUCAGCUACGAGCUUGCCCGGAUCCGUCCCAUCCAUUUCUGAUCCCACGUGAAAUUCCCACUGCUGCCGCCAUCAAAUGCAAAGGCUCCUCGUUGGAGCCACAAAACCUCCAGCUGUUUGAUAUUGUGCGGAGCAAGGCAGGGGGCAUGGAGGGACUCCGCAUGAAAGGGCGAGCUCAAAGGAAACCGGACCCUGGCAUGUCGGCAUGAUACUCAGUGGGUAACAGGCUCAGUUAAAUUUGCUCAUUCAGCCAGCUAAGAGGGAGAGUUUUCUCAUCUGUCCUGCUAUGUUUAAUUCAUCCACACAUGCCUCCCAAUUACUGCAGGAGUAAUAAACAGAAAGGCAUGUUGGGGGCGGGGGGAGGAGCUGUUUAAACCCCAGCCACCAAACCUAAGCACCCCAAAAAAGUGUGAGCAGCACACUGCUGGUAUGUGUCAUCCCGUGGGGAGCCCAUCAGCACCCUUGUUCCAAGUCCUUCUGAAUUUUAGCUCAGCUUCAGGCCUGUUUUCUGUUGUUUUGUUUAUUUUUCCUCCAGAAAUGUACACUGCAGGUGGUGUGCAUGCAGAGUUAUGCUACCAAGAGUCCAUGCCUGCUGCCUGAGUUAGGCAAAACUCCCAACAAAAAUCCAUAUGGCAUCCCUGCCUCUGUGGAAGCUCCUGCGCUCACCCACAGGUUUUUCUAGCUCUGACUCUUUGCAAAACUGGAAAAUUGAUGGAUGCAAUUGAGCUAUGGAGCCAAAGACAAGAUGGAGAAAACGCUCAUUCACAGAGGGAUCUCAAAGCUGUCUGACCAUAUCGUGAAAGAUUGAUGGUGGGUGAAAGCAAGGAUGAGGAGCUGAUGACUGUCUCAGCCCCAGAAGCGGGCUGGAUUGAGGGCAGCAGCCAUGGGCCAAGGGGACAAGAAAUUCAUCCUGUGUGUAGUGGGGAGGAGAGGAGAAAGACACACUGGGGAGCGACAACAGUGGGAAGCCCCUGGUUCAAAGGAGUUUCAACAUGAGUUUUACUUUGUUUACCCUCUUGUAAAGCUAUUUGUUACUUCGAUAAUCCAUAGGAAAUGGGAUCAUUUCUCUCUCGGCAUGUCAAAUUAAAUAAACAAAUAAAACCUUGUUUGGCUGUUGAGAAGCUUAGAAAGGAAAGUGUAUUUGUACAGGGAUUCAGGAACUAAGCAUCUUUCAGGAGCAGAAGAUUAGGAAAGAAAUCAGAGAAACAAAGGGGGAAGUGAUUCAGUCAUCAAAACUCAAGAGAGCCAAAAAAAAGAGUGGAGGGUGGGAUGGGAGGACAAGAGAUGGGCCUGACUAUAUUAGGAAAGCUGUGCUGGUGUAAACUAAACCAGCCAAUGCCAGUUUAGUUUUACCACUAGGGUCUAAGUCAGGGACAUAAACUGGGUUGUGACAAGCUCACCCUCACGCCAGAAAUACCAUUUGUGCACUGAGGUUUAUUUCAUUUCAGGAUAUAUACAUUACCCUUCACACACAAACACAAAUGCGCAUGAGGGUAAUGUAUGUAUUCUGAAAUUAAAUAGAUCUUGGCGAACCAGUGCUAGCUCUGCCUUCUGUGGGAGAGGGGUUGGCAACAGGAUUACUGGUACAGUAAAAACAAUAUAAAAGAAAUGUAUCCCCACAAAGGUAUCAUUCUCCUUCUGCGCAGUGAUAGGUAUAUUUGUAUAAAAUGUUUUACAUAUGGAUACAGAUGUGCCUAUGCUCUGUAGUAUGUAUCUACAGGAGAUGUUGUAAAGAACUACCAUUCUGUUUGUAGUUGGUUCAUUGACAGGAAAUAUUUGGACAGUCAGUAGGCUCCCAGGUGUAUGAGAUGACCCAGUUGAGGUCCAUUUGCUUUCUUGUCUUAAAAUGUUCAGGGAUUGGCAGUCAGAGAGAUCCUCUUGUGUAUGGGGAGUGUUUUACAGUGUCACUCAAUGUUUUGGGUGGAGGACAGGGUCUAUAAGAAAAUGUUUUGUUAACUGGAAAUUAUCAAAUGCAAUGGGUAAAACCAUUUGCUUGAUUAAGGAGCUCAGGGAAAUGCCCUAAAUAAAUAACUUCUCCCCCCCCUUCCUGCAGGAUCCUGCUUUCCUUUCUUAGAACUUAGACAACAACUCUUCUACAGUAUGAAACUUCUCAUGCAGUGAAAGCCAAGGCAACCACAUUUGCGAUCAUGACCACACACCUCACUGCCAGUGCUGGAUGAUGGAAGUCCUAAGACUGAAUAUAAGAGCAGCAUGAACCUGUUGUGUGCAAGAAGAGCGCCUCUAAAGACUUUUGCCAACCAAAAGCCAGGCCCCAGACCCCUGCCUCCUGCUGGCAGCGUGCUGACUUCUGCUCAGGACAGCCUUCCCAUGGGUCAGUGACUGGGCUCCCCGCAGGGGAAGCAUGACACUGGUAUAAAACACAGCACAGCUUGGCCAGUUUAGUUCCUGCUACCACCAUUAUAAUCACUGCAAAAAUAAAUACAUCUCUCUACCGAUGA